GGCGAUCAGAUACCGCCCUAGUUCUGACCGUAAACGAUGCCAACUAGCGAUCCGCCAGUCGAUUCAUCGCUCUGGUGGGGAGCUUCCCGGAAACGAAAGUCUUCCGGUUCCUGGGGAAGUAUGGUUGCAAAGCUGAAACUUAAAGGAAUUGACGGAAGGGCACCACCAGGAGUGGAGCCUGCGGCUUAAUUUGACUCAACACGGGGAAACUCACCCGGCCCGGACACCGUAAGGAUUGACAGAUUGAUAGCUUUUUCAUGAUUCGGUGGAUGGUGGUGCAUGGCCGUUCUUAGUUCGUGGAGCGAUUUGUCUGGUUUAUUCCGAUAACGAGCGAGACUCUGGCCUACUAAAUAGUUGGCACAUUGCCACUGUGUGCACAACUUCUUAGAGGGAUUUUCGGUGUUCAGCCGCACGAAAUUGAGCAAUAACAGGUCUGUGAUGCCCUUAGAUGUCCGGGGCUGCACGCGCGCUACACUGGCAAAAUCAGCGUGCUUGUCCUCCCCCGAAAGGGGUUGGUAAACCGAUGAAAAUUUGCCGUGAUUGAGAUCGGACAUUGCAAUUAUUGUCCGUGAACGAGGAAUCCCUUGUAAGGGCGAGUCAUCAACUCGUCCUGAAUACGUCCCUGCCCUUUGUA
rnacentral:rRNA from 1 species